CCUACGGGAGGCAGCAGUGGGGAAUUUUGCGCAAUGGGGGCAACCCUGACGCAGCAACGCCGCGUGAGUGAUGAAGGCCUUCGGGUCGUAAACUCCUUUUGUGGGGGACAAUGGUGAUGGUACCCCAUGAAUAAGCCACGGCUAACUCUGUGCCAGCAGCCGCGGUAAGACAGAGGUGGCAAGCGUUGUUCGGAAUCACUGGGCUUAAAGGGCGUGUAGGCGGCAUUGCAAGUCUGGGGUGGAAUCCGGUGGCUUAACCACCGAACUGCCCUGGAAACUGCAUUGCUAGAGUCAGUGAGGGGAGGGCGAAAUUCCCGGUGUAGCAGUAAAAUGCGUAGAUAUCGGGAGGAGGGCCGGUGGCGAAGGCGGCCCUCGGGUGCUUGACUGACGCUGAGGCGCUAAAGCGGGGGGAGCAAACAGGAUUAGAUACCCCUGUAGU
rnacentral:rRNA from 1 species